CGCUAACAAAGGACAAACUCUGUAGAAGAGGAAAAUAUUCUUAUGGUAUCUUUUACAUUCCUAUUCAUCUCCUCCAAACUUAUUUCUCUCUCCACCAUUACCCCCUUAAACUUACUACCAUACUCGAUAUGUGAUUGUGAGGAAUUGAAUCGAGUUUGGACCAGCCGAUUGCAACUACAACCUCAUGCUUAUCGGAUAAACCACUCAUUGUUCACUCUAGACGAAAAUUGUUGAACAAUUAGCGCGCCAUAUAAGAGGCCAGACAUCAGGAUUGUGAGCAUCUCAAAACUCACAUAAAUGAAAAUACCGAGAGAGGAUAUGGAAGUCAUACCUUGAAACGCAUUGACUAGGGACUAUGAGGAGAGCGGGAGCCUUGUCAGGAACCUAGCCAAAGAUUUGGAUAGGGCAUCUGUCCACACCGAAUAUUCUGAAGACCAAAGGGAGGAUAGCACCCAAACGAAGAGGUGAGAGACGAAGGUGCAGCGACAGACAAGGCGAUGUAACGACGGUUCAAAUGUCUUGAACGUAAAAUAGAGAGAUGAAAAAGCUUUUAAGAGUUAGUCAUCGCUCAAGGACAAUCCUACAAGAGUAACAUACCUUAAGCGCCUCACCCGCCCCUUCAACCCAAGGAGGAAAACCCCACAACAACAGCUGGAAGCCUCACCAUCCGAAAACCGCU
rnacentral:lncRNA from 1 species